CUGUUGACAGUUGAAGGCUUUCUUUGGGGAGUGAAACAUAUGUAAUAUGCCUGGAAAGUCCAUUUUGCUAAUCAGCCAGUGGAAGCAAACAGCACUCCACAAGCAGCUUGUGCAGGCAUGUGCGGAUCUGUACUAGUAGCAACACUAAUGGAUCUUCCAUACCUACUGAUUUCAACUAGAUUGUAAGCAGAAGCAAGAGAUCAAAUCAAUAGAGGAGGUGGCAAGAUAAGCCAGGAGUCCUACCUGAGUGCACAGGUUGUAGGUUGAGACGUGUCUGCCAAACAACCACUGUGUAAGCAACAAUCUGAUGGGGGGAUGUGGAGAGGAAAAAGAGCCUGCAAGUCAAUUAUCUUUUUAGGUACUUCUCUUUGUCAUGAUCAUCAACCUUGAGAGUAGCAUUAGUCAUUAUUUGUAUCGCUCAGUUGAGACUAUUUUAUUUUAAACUGAUGCAGCAUUCAGCAAAGCUGUAUAUCACACUUUUGGAAAGGGAACAGUUUUUAAAUUUACAUGGGAAAAUGGCAUAAGGCGAGAUAAAAAGAGAAAGCCUUUAGUUGUGUAAAGUAAUACAGACAGAGGAUGUAGUUAUGAAACUGGAUACCAGUUGAUUUAUUCCUGGUGCCAUGAGAAGUGAGUAGGAAGGUGGGUUCGGGCCACACAGUUCUUCAACACUUCAGGCUGAGAGCCACCACUGUUCAACAAAAACACAGUAAGCAGCCUUAUAACGGUAUCUAGAAAUUAUUUUUAUAGUAUUUGUUUUCACUUUAUUGAUUUUAUUAGUUUGUGAUGAGCAAUAUGUUUAAAUCUUGUGAAUGUCCUCUUCCCUGUUACCAUUUUACUUUAGGUGCAGGAGUAGGGCAGUAAGUCCUAAUAGCAAAGGAACUUAGGGUAGGCUUGUGACACGGCCCUGCAGAGAUGCUUAGGCUGUCUGUCAGUGAACUAGUUCAGGCAUUAUGAGUAAAAGCAAUCUGGGCAUCUUUCAACUGUGUCUUGGAGACAGACUUCCAGAGCCAGACAAAGCUAAGAGAGAUGCUGUGGAAAAUGCAUUUGCAUAAUUCAAGCAGUUGACAUUAUCUGAUAAAGAAACAUAGACAAAGAGCUUAAGAGGGUUAGAACUGAAAUGACUGUAACGCCAAAAUAGCACUGCCACAUAUGGGCCUUAGCCUCAUAAAUUAGGAGGUGGUAACUUUUUGCUGGCAGUUACCUGAAAUUCAGGACCCUACCAUGCGAAAAAGAAUAUUUUUUUUCUGAGCUCCUUGAACACAUAUUGCUCCUCCUGCUUGGGGAGAAACACCCAUAAGUGUGUGUUAAAUUUAACAUGCAUUAAUUCAUAAUCCAUAAAUUUAGUAUCAAUGAAUGCAUUUAUUGAGAAAAAGAAUAAUGAGAGAGUUGAAAGAAAGAAGGAUGAGGACAAGAUCUGCAUUUUCUGCUUUUCCAUUUUUCUUCCUUAACUCUAUUUUCUCUCUCUGCUUCAGAGCCUUUACCACCACCACAGCUUUCAUUUCUUCGUCUGCUUUCCCUCCACAUCUCAGGUUCAUGUGGAUGGCUUCACCCUGCUUUUUCAGGUAUGCCACAGUCCAAUAGCUCCUAAUUAGUCCUCCUCAUGAUUUUUCAGGAACCUCAUACCCCAAGUUGGCACCCUCCAGCCUGCCUUGUGCCCCAGAGUUCAUCCUAGCCCUUCUCUCCUGCUUCUCUAUCUGUCUAAGGCUCCACAUCACCUUAAUAAACUAUUUCUUAUUUUCUUGACUUUUUUAUGUGCUACCCUCUUGGAGUUGGAGUAAAUAAGUAUCUUCACUUUUGGACCUUCACAACUCAAAAGGGUGACUCUGGAACUCCUGUUUUCUAAAGCCAGAUUCUGGCAUUUAGCAGCUCCUUUGCUUAACAUACCAUUUAAAGCAAGAACCAAUGAGAAUCACUCCUCCGGUGGUUUGUGGAAGGUUUUGCAUCUGUAUUUGAGGAAACAUAUGUAUAUUUGCACUCCCUUUCUCAUUUAUGCUAUAAUUUCCCCUAUAAUACUCUUGGGGGAGUAGGCUCCACUUCACAUAACCUCUAGAAUUGUGUGCAUUAUAAAUUCUGUUCUUACAUUUAGCUUUAAGUCAGUGUAUUGCAUUAUGCAGUCUUACAGUUAAAUCCUGAAUUUAAGCUAUUAAUGAAUCCUUUUUAAUGAACUAAUGUAAAAUUCAAAUAUAGCUUAUA